CUUCCUUCUUUCCAUGCCUAAAUUGGCCCCGUGGAAGGCCUCACUCGUUGCCUCCGUGUGCUCAUGAGGAGAUGUCUCCGAACGAGUCGCGGUUCGAUGUGUGUGGUCAUAUCAUGGUGAGCCUGAUGGCAUGUGAGUGGUGUUUGGGUUGCGUGGGUUGAUAGGCUCCUUGCUCGUGCGACGAACUAUAGCCCCCUUCCGCAUUUCAUGAUCUGCCCCAAGCGCUCCAUCGAGAGGCCUGGGCAUCGUGAAAGUUGGGUUCCUGUGUUGCGUUCCUACUGUGAUGGAAUCGUCCCCUUGAAGUUGCCUUUCCCCCGCCUUGCCUUGCGAUCGCAAUGCGGGCGGGACUCGGUAGCGGUCAUCGUGGUCCUCGGUCGCCCUGAACAUGCGAGCAUGGGAGGCGGCGUGCCGUGGCCCAAGAUGUCCGUCGGUGCUCUCGGAUGCGGAACGUUUAGCCGGGCGAGUUGGGUCUCCAACGGAAGCUCGAACCAAGCGUUAUUCGCUGCUGUGAACGACAGCGGUCAUCACCUUGCCCUCACGUCGCCCUGCACCGUCGGGGCCUCGGCGAGGCGCAUGCGGUGCCGCCGUCGCACGAGGAUGC
rnacentral:misc_RNA from 1 species